GGACAGGACACAGGGAAUGGCUUUUCCAAGAUUAGAUGGGAUAUUGGGCAGGAAUUGUUCCCUGGCAGGGUGGGCAGGGCUGGCACAGGGUGCCCAGAGCAGCCACGUCCCCUGUGGAAGGUGAGUUUUGGUGUGUAGGUGGGUGCAGUUUUGGUAUAAGGUGGGUGCAGUUUUUGUUUAAGGUGGGUGCAGUUUUGGUUUAAGGUGGGUGCAGUUUUGGUGUGAAGGUGGGUGCAGUUUUGGUGUGAAGGUGGGUGCAAUUUUGGUUUAAGGUGGGUGCAGUGUCCUGCUCACCCUGCAUGAGCUGUCCCAGAAUUUGAGGGCUCCUGCCUGGCUCUCACAAACUGUGCCCUGCCUCGUUCCCCAGCAGCAUUCCUGCUUGUGGGAAAUGAGGAACUGUAG
rnacentral:lncRNA from 12 species